AUGGGUUCCUCUCCAAAGGCGGUCCUGCCGCCGCGAGGGGAUGGGGCUGCGUCCUAUUAGCUAGUUGGUGAGGUAACGGCUCACCAAGGCUUCGAUGGGUAGCUGGUCUGAGAGGACGGCCAGCCACAUUGGGACUGAGAUACGGCCCAGACUCCUACGGGAGGCAGCAGUGGGGAAUCUUGGCCAAUGGACGAAAGUCUGAGCCAGCGACACCGCGUGGGGGAUGACGGCCUUCGGGUUGUAAACCCCUUUUCUGGGGAAAGAAUAAGGACGGGAGGAAAUGCCCGCCCGAUGACGGUACUCCAGGAAUAAGCAUCGGCUAACUCUGUGCCAGCAGCCGCGGUAAGACAGAGGAUGCGAGCGUUAUCCGGAAUUACUGGGCGUAAGGGCGUCUAGGCGGUUCGGUAAGUCGUUUGUGAAAUCCCUUGGCUCAACCGAGGAGAGUCUUGCGAUACUGCCGGGCUUGGGUGUAGGAGAGGAGGGUGGAACUCACAGAGUAGCGGUGGAAUGCGUAGAUACUGUGAGGUACCCCGAUGGCGAAGGCAACCCUCUGGCCUACUACCGACGCUGAAGCGCGAAAGCGUGGGGAGCAAAGGGGAUUAGAUACCCCCGUAGUCCACGCCCUAAACAAUGUUCACUUGGUGUCGGCCGCUUAUACUGGUCGGUGCCGAAGCUAACGCGUUAAGUGAACCGCCUGAGGAGUACGGCCGCAAGGCUAAAACUCAAGAGAAUUGACGGGUCCCUGCACAAGCGGUGGAGCACGUGGUUUAAUUCGACGAUAAACGAAGAACCUCACCCAGGCUUGACAUACUAGUGGUAGAAACCUGAAAGGGGGCCGACCCUGCCUUCGGGUAGGGAGCUAGUACAGGUGAUGCAUGGCUGUCGUCAGCUCGUGUCGUGGGAUGUUGGGUUCAGUCCCGAAACGAGCGCAACCCUUGUCGUUAGUUGCCAGCGGGUAAUGCCGGGGACUCUAACGAGACUGCUGGUGAAUAGCCGGAGGAAGGCGGGGAUGACGUCAAGUCAUCAUGUCCCUUAUGCCUGGGGCGACACACAUGCUACAAUGGGGGGUACAAAGGGUCGCAAUCCCGUAAGGGGGAGCCAAUCCAUAAAAACCCCUCUCAGUUCGGAUUGAGGUCUGCAACUCGACCUCAUGAAGCCGGAAUCGCUAGUAAUCGCGGGUCAGCCAUACCGCGGUGAAUAUGUACUCAGGGAUUGUACACACCGCCCGUCACACCAACCGAGUGGGGGGUACCUGAAGUCGCUCUUCUAAGGGCGCCUAGGGUAACUUCCGCAAGAGGGGUGAAGUCGUAACAAGGUA
rnacentral:rRNA from 1 species